rnacentral:rRNA from 1 species
AUCUUCGGAUGUGUAUAAAGUGGCGAACGGCUGAGUAACACGUGGGCAACCUGCCCUUUGCACUGGGAUAGCCUCGGGAAACCGAGGUUAAUACCGGAUACUCCAUAUUUGUCGCAUGGCGAAUAUGGGAAAGCUCCGGCGGCAAAGGAUGGGCCCGCGGCCUGUUAGCUAGUUGGUGGGGUAGUGGCCUACCAAGGCAAUGAUGGGUAGCCGGGUUGAGAGACCGACCAGCCAGAUUGGGACUGAGACACGGCCCAGACUCCUACGGGAGGCAGCAGUGGGGAAUCUUGCACAAUGGGCGAAAGCCUGAUGCAGCGACGCCGCGUGCGGGAUGAAGGCCUUCGGGUUGUAAACCGCUUUCAGCAGGGACGAGGCCGCAAGGUGACGGUACCUGCAGAAGAAGCCCCGGCUAACUACGUGCCAGCAGCCGCGGUAAUACGUAGGGGGCAAGCGUUAUCCGGAUUCAUUGGGCGUAAAGCGCGCGUAGGCGGUCUGUUAGGUCAGGAGUUAAAUCUGGGGGCUCAACCCCUAUCCGCUCCUGAUACCGGCAGGCUUGAGUCUGGUAGGGGAAGCUGGAAUUCCAAGUGUAGCGGUGAAAUGCGCAGAUAUUUGGAAGAACACCGGUGGCGAAGGCGGUCUUCUGGGCCAUGACUGACGCU